rnacentral:rRNA from 1 species
UACAGAGGUCCCAAGCGUUGUUCGGAUUCACUGGGCGUAAAGGGUGCGUAGGUGGUGGGGUAAGUCGGAUGUGAAAGCUCGGAGCUCAACUCCGAAAUGGCAUUGGAAACUACCCUGCUAGGGGAUUGGAGGGGGGACUGGAAUACUUGGUGUAGCAGUGAAAUGCGUAGAUAUCAAGUGGAACACCAGUGGCGAAGGCGAGUCCCUGGACAAUACCUGACACUGAGGCACGAAAGCUAGGGGAGCAAACAGG